GACGAACGCUGGCGGCGUGCCUAAUACAUGCAAGUUGAGCGCUGAAGGUUGGUACUUGUACCAACUGGAUGAGCAGCGAACGGGUGAGUAACGCGUGGGGAAUCUGCCUUUGAGCGGGGGACAACAUUUGGAAACGAAUGCUAAUACCGCAUAAAAACUUUAAACACAAGUUUUAAGUUUGAAAGAUGCAAUUGCAUCACUCAAAGAUGAUCCCGCGUUGUAUUAGCUAGUUGGUGAGGUAAAGGCUCACCAAGGCGAUGAUACAUAGCCGACCUGAGAGGGUGAUCGGCCACAUUGGGACUGGGACACGGCCCAAACUCCUACGGGAGGCAGCAGUAGGGAAUCUUCGGCAAUGGACGAAAGUCUGACCGAGCAACGCCGCGUGAGGGAAGAAGGGUUUCGGAUCGUAAAACUCUGUUGGUAGAGAAGAACGUUGGUGAGAGUGGAAAGCUCAUCAAGUGACGGUAACUACCCAGAAAGGGACGGCUAACUACGUG
rnacentral:rRNA from 1 species